rnacentral:rRNA from 1 species
AAUGAACGCUGGCAGCGUGCCUAACACAUGCAAGUCGUACGAGAAAUCUUCCGCUUGCGGAAGAGAGUAAAGUGGCGCACGGGUGAGUAACGCGUGGGUAACCUGCCCCUGAAUUUGGGAUAACUCCGCGAAAGCGGGGCUAAUACCUAAUAAGACCACUACCGCUUCGGCGGCAGAGGUAAAAGCUGACCUCUCCAUGGAAGUUAGUGUUUGGGGACGGGCCCGCGUCCUAUCAGCUUGUUGGUAGGGUAAAGGCCUACCAAGGCAACGACGGGUAGCUGGUCUGAGAGGAUGAUCAGCCACACUGGAACUGGAACACGGUCCAGACUCCUACGGGAGGCAGCAGUGAGGAAUUUUGCGCAAUGGGCGAAAGCCUGACGCAGCAACGCCGCGUGGGUGAAGAAGGCCUUCGGGUCGUAAAGCCCUGUCAGGUGGGAAGAAUCGUUCCGGCACUAAUAAUGCCAGAGCCUGACGGUACCACCAGAGGAAGCACCGGCCAACUCCGUG